CCUACGGGAGGCAGCAGUGAGGAAUAUUGGUCAAUGGGCGGGAGCCUGAACCAGCCAAGCCGCGUGAGGGAAGAAGGUCCAGCGUAUCGUAAACCUCUUUUGUCAGGGAACAAAGGCGGGGACUAGUCCCCGGCUGAGGGUACCUUACGAAAAAGCAUCGGCUAACUCCGUGCCAGCAGCCGCGGUAAUCCGGGGGAUGCGAGCGUUAUCCGGAUUUAUUGGGUUUAAAGGGUGCGCAGGCGGCCUGUUAAGUCAGCGGUAAAAGCCCGGGGCUCAACCCCGGCGAGCCGUUGAAACUGGCGGGCUGGAGUUGGAGAGAAGUACGCGGAAUGCGCGGUGUAGCGGUGAAAUGCUUAGAUAUCGCGCAGAACCCCGAUUGCGAAGGCAGCGUACCGGCUCCAAACUGACGCUGAGGCACGAAAGCGUGGGUAUCGAACAGGAUUAGAUACCCUUGUAGUC
rnacentral:rRNA from 1 species